GCCAUGGGUUCUCAUGGUGGCUCUGUUCAUUUGGGGCUGGUCCUUUGGGUAUCAGGUACUAUUUUCGUCCCAGGUUUGCAGAUGGGAAGGAAAAGCUGACUCAUUAAGGCUCUGGUCCAGUAGAGCUCUCUCUGGGGCAGGGUUAAGUUUCUCUUUCUGAUAUCUCUGUAGUUCCUUUUUUCACCACACCACAGCAAAAGGAGAAAUUCUGGCCCUGGCUAAAGGGCUGAAUGAGUUCAUUCUCAGUGGCCUUUCUGACUGACUAGGAACUACAGUGAAUCGCAAGCAGAGUCCACCAUCCACCAAUCAUCAAGGAUGUGAUGGUCUUCAAAGCCUUAUCCAAAUCCCUCCCCCGACACAGAUUUCAGGUUCUGUAGCCAAGCCUCUUCUUGUUUCAUCCCUUCAAAGUCAGCGCAAGAUAAUCAAGUGAAUUGCUCAGCAACAUGGUCAGAUUUGCUGGAAAUUACGACCCCCAAGUACUUUCCAAAAGGAAAAGAAAAUGCCAGGAUGAAGUGUAUGACAUCCAUCAUCCUCUACAGGUUAACAUCAUGAAACAUGCCAAGUCCACCAGGCUCUCCAGAGAAAGUGAUGCUACAGGAUACAGGCUCACAGAAAACCUUUUGAGGAUUGUUAUCAGUUAAUAGACAAUGCCUUUUCUAAAGAAAAUACAAAAUAAAACAAGCAUCCAGCAUACAAAGGUUUUACUCCACACUUCCUGGUCCUUUCACUCACGUUUCCAUCUCCAGGGGAACAGCAGAUACCACCCCUCACAUUCCAGAAUAUUUGCUGAAUAAAUGAACUCGAGCUUUUCCCUGACACACAUUGGCUUAUGAAGACUCUUGACACAUUAUGACAAUUUCAAUGCUUCAAAUUGAAAGUUUUCUUAACUAGGUCAGCAAAAAUGGUUAGUGGCACCUCAUGCCAUGAUUGGGAAGAAUUGGAGAAAUUCUCGAAUCUGUGCCAUGGUCAGUCUAUGUCAGUGGGCCAGGUCACAUGAAGACACAGUUCUUGACAUCGCCAUAGCCAAAAAUUUGCUUGGUAAAAGUCCCAAGAAACCCCAUCAUUCUUUAAACCGCAGAAGGAAAUGAAGGGCCAGAGUGGCCAUGAAUAAUUUUAACCCUGGGGUCUCAAUGAACAGUCAGAGCUGGACAUAAGUCAGCUAACAGAAUGUGCAAAGAAUAGGAAGUCGUGCCUGGGAUACAGUCACUACCCAGAAUAGGAUGUAACAGUCAGCACACGGCUUGAGGCACAACUGCGGUCAGAAAAGAAGAAUGCAUGAUGGAUUCUCCACAGGAAACACCAAGGUGCCUGCUAGGAUUCUCCUGGGUGCAUUUGAGACAUCACACCCACAAGUUCCUAGGCAACAGGAUCCAAAUCCUGUGAUGCCUUUCUCAGGAUGGUCAACCACGUUGAGUAUUGCUGAAGAAAAGACAGUUUUUCCACUUAAACUUUGCGAACCAUGCAUGUCCUGUCCUUCCUCAACAUGGUUUCUGAAUGUGGAAGAAUAGAAGGUUAUCUAUCCCUUGGUUACCACAAAACUCAGGUCUGAAGCUUCUGUGUGACCGCAAAACAUACUCCUGCCAUCUAACAGGUCCAGCAGGGAAAGCAGCCAGGUCCACAGGGAAGUGUCAGCCUCCUUGCCGGAGGGAAGCAAAUAAACCUUACUGCUCGGGCAGUCACUGCAGUUUCCUACUCCAUUCCUACUCCACAGCGCCAUCGUUUUCUAUUUCAGGACUGCCAAUGCCCAGCAUGGACCCCUUAGUAAGUGUUGAGGCAAAUGGAAGAAGCAAGCGUCAGGAAACCACAGAUUAUCAUGUACAGAAAGAGGCCGAAUGCUCUAACCACUGUACAUAACUGUCCAUUUGCCAACCAGCUGCUGUUGGCAAAAUCUUAUUAAAGAGAGAUUAAAAAAAAAAAAGCCAUGUGAAGGAUUUUGUAGCUGCAAACCCUCGCCUCUCCAUGCCAACACUUGAACAUGCAGAACAAGCUUUCCAGAGGGGUGGUGGACUCAUCACAGUGCUGCUCUACAGGCCGGGCCUCCAGCAGACUGAUCCAGACACAAUUUAGAUCCAGGAUAAGCAUUCCAAAAGAAACGCUUGGGAAAUUGACACGACAACAGUCUCUAGAGGCUAUCCAGCUCAGCCAGACUCCAAAAAGUAAUUGUUUUUCCAUAAAAUCAUUUUUAUGACUUCCUACCUAAAAUUUACCAGCUCUUCUGUGUCAUAAAAAAAAAAAAAGGACUCUUUAAAAACUUCCUUUCCAGUAAUCACCACACUGGGUUUUCUUUUGUCCCUGCAGUGAAGGCUGAGACGAACAUUUCACUCAGUCAGUGCUGCGUUAUGCAUGCAAGGGCGGAUACUUUCCUGGAAAGUUCCAUCAGCUUCCAUGGCCUUAACAUCUAUAAAUGAUUGGACUAAAUUUAUGGGAUAUGAAACAGACUAGACGGCUAUUUAUUCCCCUUUAAAACAUUUAAAGCAUUUGAAAUAUUUAUUUAAAGCUCAGCCUUUAUUUGGUAGAACUGGCUGGAGGGGGCGGGGGGGGGGGAGGUUCUUACAGAACUUCUCUUAAUUUGUUGAUUAAGUAAGAAAUCAUGGGAAAAAGUUGUAGAAAUAGUGACUCUCAGACAGGGAAUGAAGGGUCUUAGGCUGCUGGGUCACUGUGGUUUAUAGAUACUGGAGACACUGGAAGUGUCCUGUAAGCAUUAUUGAUUGAUCGAUGGCCCGCAUUUAUAAAAUAUGGGGUCUGUUUCAACAUCCUGGCUGCAAACGCAGCGCACACAUUUACCUACACAAAGUUCAAAGGGAGAGGGGGAUCCAAGCAGAGUCUCUGGACUUUGCCGAUGACUGCUUCAAACUUGUUUUCACAAGGCAGCCCCCUGCUUCGGAGCCCUGGUACUCUCUUUUACAGCAACGCUUAAAAGCCAAGCUGCGUUUGAUUCUCAGAGACAAAACAAUCAAGAAAUCCAGCAUGAGCGGCUUUUCCUUUUCAACACUGGGAGACAGAAAGACAGAAGGACAGCCUCGGCUGGGGCAACGGAGAAGAUGAAGAACUAGGAACAGUCACUCGACUGAAGCAGCGCAGAAAAGGAGGGAAAUCAUGCCUGGUACUGGAAAACCCAUGGUGAACACUGUUAUGAAUCAUACAGGAGAAGCUACUACCACUGUCAUAAAUCAGUUUCAUUUCUAACUGUAUUCUAAAUACUUAUUCUUUUACCCAGAUAAGGGUAGGUUUCAAUUUUCAUCAAAGCAGCGGUUCUUUGAAGCAGGUGGAGACCAUUAUAAAAAGCCACAACUGGUCAUAAUACCCAGAAUAACUGGCUUUGGGGUGUUCCACUGAAUGGAUACGUCUACAACCACUAUCCCUAAACCUCAGGGAAGACUGUGGAAGAGAAGGCAAAGAGAUUGUAAAAGCCUGAGGACCAAGACGUCUGUUAUAUGACAGUUUCUCUAUACAUGACAAGGAUGCUGCUCCUGUGAAAUAUUAAUAACACAGUUGCCUAAGAAGAUGGUAACAGCAAGGCCAACAUGGAUCGAAAGAUCACAUGAGGCCCUACGCCCCUCUAGAUGAAGAGCUAUCAGCAAUUAAUGGAUGCCAAAAGAUGGAGAUCCACUCUUCCCCAGAGCUGAAGCUUUGCCAGGUUAUCAAACACCUGACCUCAUUACACACAUAGUAAUGUGUGCAACACUAAAUGGACUCAGGCGACUGCAUUUAUAUAUACCUAUAACUAUAUAAUAAUGAAGCCAGAAAUUUGAGAGGAAAAGGGGAGGAGGACACAGGAAGGGAAGAGGAAGGGAUAGAAGUGAUGCAAAUACAAUACAUAUGUAUGCAAUUCUCAAAUCAUCAUCAUCAUCAUCAUAACAAUAACAACAAUAAUAAUAAUACAGUAAUAAAACAGAUGCAGGAUGCUCAACAAGGCCCCAGUCAAACACAGAAGCCUAUGUCCAUCCCAUAUUUGCUUUGCUCUCUAGACCAUUCCUUGCUAUGUUUCGAUAAAUGCAUCCUUCAUUUCUCUGCCAUCAAUUCCAGCAUCUUUAUGAUACUCAGUCUCAGCGUGGCGGUCAGGUGCCCUGUCACCCCCAGAUAAUCUGUCUCUCAGAUUGUGAUCCAUCUCUUGAGGCAGCACUGCACAUGUCUGUGACAGUUCAAACCCGGGCACCCACAUCAGUGGCUCACAACUGCCUUUAAUUCCAGUUCCAGGAGAACCGAAGCUCUUUUCUGACCCCCAUAGGCUUCUACAUUCAUGUUCACAAAGUCACACACAGACAGGCACCGGGGAAGAAAGACAUCAAGAAAACUGAUGUAAAUCUUAAAGACAAAAGGCUAACUAGAAAAUGGAACAAAUUUAGUAUUUUGCACAACUAUGUAAAACUGGAAGGUAAAAACUAUGGCACAAAUAGGCAGCAAAGAUGACUGGAGAGGCAUUAGAAAAAGAGGGCUGGUGAGACAGCUCAGUGGGUGAGGAACCCUUGUCACAUAAGUGUGACAACUGAGUAGAUUCCCUGAACCUAUAGUGAAAAGAGAACCAAGUCCUGACAGUCAAUCUCUCACCUCCACACAACCACCAUGGCACACAUAUAUGCACAUAAAGGUAUGCAUGCACACACACACACACUAUAAACAUAAUAUAAAAUAAUAUAAAAAUUAAAGGAAAAAACCACAAAAAGUAUCAAACUGACAUUUACCACCAUGUUUGGCCUAGCAACCUUGAAACAGGUAUAUUCAUGCCUCAUCUGAUCAAAGGAGAAGAACGCUAACAAAACCAUACAGCUCACCGCUUAGUGGGGGUUGUCCCUGUAGAAACUAUAAGCUUCUCAAAGAACAACCUCAGAGAGCUAACAAGGUGAUAAUGACGCAGUAUUUCUUUGUAAAAAAAAAUACUGUAUAUUUCUAUUAUACUUAAGAUGGCAUAGUUGGAAAUAAUAUGCAUGUUUGAUAAAUAAGAACGAGCUAUUUCAAUCACUGGGGCUAGGGAGAUGACUCAGGGGUUAAGAGUACUUGCUGCUCUUCCAAAGGAGUUAAGUUCAGUUCCCAGCAACCACGUUGGCUGGUCCAGUGCCACCUGCCACUCUGGCUGCAGGUUACCCACUACUCUCUUCUGGCCUCCACAGGCAUGUAGACACAGAGCGUGAAUACAUACUCAAGACAUAUAAAUAAAUAAUAAAGGUAAGUCUCAAAAAUAAGCUAUUGAACUAUUAAUAUAGUAAGAUUAAAAUAGGCAUAUGAUAAAAGAAUGGAAGUCUACAUAAAAUAAUAAUAAUAUCCUAAAGAUCUUAGAUUAUAAAAUAGUAAGCAAAGUGUAGGAAAUGCACAGUCACCUUGGGACAAACAAAAUAUUUCAAGGCAAAGGUCACGGGGAAUCCUCUCUGUCCCCUGACCUAUCUGUUACAUUUGGCUUGUCAGUCUAUUUCUCCAGAAGCUCCCUUGCCUACAAGGCCAUAGUCUAUUUCCCACAGUUGACUAAUUGUUUAUUCCUCCAAAUAGAACCUACCCUGUCCUAAAGGGACACACAAUGUUCUCUCUCCUGUUCUCCACCCUUGCACAGGAAGGGCAGUGUCACAGGCCUUGUAUCUGUUAGCUGAGUUCUAGAUAGCAACACGUCAGCAAGUCUGACCACAGACCGACAGUGCUUCUACAGGGGUCCUUGGUUUUCCUAUUCCCAACGUUACAAACUCAAUGCUUCUGUCCGUCUGAAUUUGCUGUCAGGCCUCUCAGUCACCAUCAAUCAGGGAUGUUCAACUUGUAACUGAUAAACAGCUAAGAAAGCAUUAUGCUACUAUUAAAGAAAUAUAUUCUAACAUAUUCUGGUUAGUUUUUUUUAACACGUUGUAGGUAAGUGUGGUUUGAAAAGAGGGUGCCUCUGCUGAGAAAAUGUUCCCCAUGAGGUUGUCCUAUACACUAGCCUGUAGAGUAUUUUCACAUCAAUGUGAUUAAUUGUAGAUGUGUGCCUACUCCACUGUGGGUAGUGGGCAGUGCCAACCUGGGGCAAGUUAUUCUGAGUUGUAUAAGAAAGCCUGCUGAGCAAGGAAACUGGUAAGCAGCAUCUUCCAUGACUUCUGCCUCUGGGUUCCCAUCCUGGCCCUGAUUUCUUUCAGAGGUGAGGUGAUCUGAGAGUUAUAAGGUGAGAUAAACCCUUUCCUCCCCAAGCUACCUUUGGUCAUAGUGUUAAUCACAGCAACAGAAACUCCAAGACUGUAUAUAUUGUUAUUAUAUAAAUAAAAUGCUAACAUUACUUUCAACGCUCUGUGCCAUGGAUUAGGAGCAAGUAAUAUCAUCAAGACAUCAAUCUUAAAACACAGAUCUAAUGAUGUUUAUAUUAGAUGCAACAAAAGACACUGUACUAAACAGGCAUGAAGAAAUGAAAAUGUUAACGCUUUCCCAUGAGCAAAUUGUAUGGCUUCGGAUGUGACAAACUACAACUCCAGACAAGGCUGGUUGCUUUGGCAGUCUCUCCACGGGGAAGGGGAAUAAGGAGCGGGGAGACUAUUUUAUCAAGCUCAGACAUUUUUCAGUUAGGAAGGCACGAUGCUUUCUCUGGGGUCCAGUGUGCUUCAGUGGCCUGAAUAUAGGCUGUGGGCUCAAAACUAUGCCUUGAAUCUUGGCUCCAAAAGCUGUGUCGAGCAACUCAGUCAGAGGCUAAGCCUCCACAACCAAGAAUGUCUUACCAAUGAUAUGUAACCUAAAGGGUCAUGUUUGUCACUACUAAGCUAGAGGUUAGAGAAAUGAGUUCAUGCAUUCACGACUACUAUGUUAUACAAUAGAUGAUAGGGUGAUCAUAAAGAAUCUUUUGAAUUACAAGAUGUGAAAUUGCAUUUCAUGGAGGCUUAAAGUUGUACACAUUUCUUUAUAUGCAGAUUCUCUGCAAGUGGUCAUCAUCCUGUUGCUCCCAUGACAUGAUGUUGCUUACAUCACAGGUGUACUGCUUCGGGAAGGCCAUCAUUACUGGGUGUCUUACAGCACACUUCACCACUGUAACUUGGCUGUGGGGCUGGAUCAAGAAGGAGGAAGCUAUAGUGUGGAGGAACUGAAGCAGAUUACACUAAGGAAUCUGUGCAAUAAGGAUGAAAAAAGGAGACAGAGAUUUCUUGUAGGGUGAGGGGCAUUUCACGGGCUGCAAGGGAUUCCAACACUAACAGGUUCUUGCCUCCCUGCCUGGUGUACGCCAGGCUCAUAUGAAUUUGCUGAGGACCAAGAACACCUAGGAGUAUGAGAUCCA